rnacentral:misc_RNA from 1 species
GAUGAAGAACGUAGCGAAAUGCGAUAAGUAGUGUGAAUUGCAGAAUUCAGUGAAUCAUCGAAUCUUUGAACGCACAUUUCGCCCCUUGGUAUUCCAUGGGGCAUGCCUGUUCGAGCGUCAUUUGUACCUUCAAGCUUUGCUUGGUGUUGGGUGUUUGUCUCGCCUUUGCGUGUAGACUCGCCUUAAAAUAAUUGGCAGCCGGCGUAUUGAUUUCGGAGCGCAGUACAUCUCGCGCUUUGCACUCAUAACGACAGCGUCCAAAAGUACAUUUUACACUCUUGACCUCGGAUCAGGUAGGGAUACCCGCUGAACUUAAGCAUAUCAAUAAGCGGAAGA